rnacentral:rRNA from 1 species
UACGUAGGUGGCAAGCGUUGUCCGGAUUUACUGGGCGUAAAGAGCGCGCAGGCGGUCGGAUAAGUCGAAUGUGAAAGCCCCCGGCUCAACUGGGGAGGGUCAUUCGAUACUGUUCGACUCGAAGGCAGGAGAGGGAAGUGGAAUUCCCGGUGUAGUGGUGAAAUGCGUAGAUAUCGGGAGGAACACCGGUGGCGAAGGCGGCUUCCUGGACCGACACUGACGCUGAGGCGCGAAAGCUAGGGGAGCAAACGGG